rnacentral:rRNA from 1 species
UACGUAGGGUCCGAGCGUUGUCCGGAAUUACUGGGCGUAAAGAGCUCGUAGGUGGUUUGUCGCGUUGUUCGUGAAAACUCACAGCUCAACUGUGGGCGUGCGGGCGAUACGGGCAGACUGGAGUACUGCAGGGGAGACUGGAAUUCCUGGUGUAGCGGUGGAAUGCGCAGAUAUCAGGAGGAACACCGGUGGCGAAGGCGGGUCUCUGGGCAACAACUGACGCUGAGGAGCGAAAGCGUGGGGAGCGAACAGG